CCUACGGGAGGCAGCAGUGGGGAAUUUUGGACAAUGGGCGAAAGCCUGAUCCAGCCAUUCCGCGUGAGUGAAGAAGGCCUUCGGGUUGUAAAGCUCUUUCGCAAGGGAAGAAAACUUAGAUACUAAUAUUAUCUGAGGUUGACGGUACCUUGAUAAGAAGCACCGGCUAACUACGUGCCAGCAGCCGCGGUAAUACGUAGGGUGCGAGCGUUAAUCGGAAUUACUGGGCGUAAAGCGUGCGCAGGCGGUUUUGUAAGUCAGAUGUGAAAUCCCCGAGCUCAACUUGGGAACUGCGUUUGAAACUACAAGACUAGAAUAUGUCAGAGGGGGGUAGAAUUCCACGUGUAGCAGUGAAAUGCGUAGAGAUGUGGAGGAAUACCAAUGGCGAAGGCAGCCCCCUGGGAUAAUAUUGACGCUCAUGCACGAAAGCGUGGGGAGCAAACAGGAUUAGAUACCCUGGUAGUCCACGCCCUAAACGAUGUCUACUAGUUGUUGGUGGAGUAAAAUCCAUGAGUAACGCAGCUAACGCGUGAAGUAGACCGCCGNGGGAGGUACGGUCGGUCGAGAGUUAAACGUAACUUAAUUAGUAAGUUAGACGGCGUGAGACGNGCGACGGACGACGACGAGGGAGGAGG
rnacentral:rRNA from 1 species